rnacentral:rRNA from 1 species
UACGUAGGGGGCAAGCGUUGUCCGGAAUCAUUGGGCGUAAAGCGCGUGUAGGCGGUUCGGUAAGUCGGCUGUGAAAGUCCAGGGCUCAACCCUGGGAUGCCGGUCGAUACUGCCGGACUAGAGUUCGGAAGAGGCGAGUGGAAUUCCCGGUGUAGCGGUGAAAUGCGUAGAUAUCGUGAGGAAGACCAGUGGCGAAGGCGGAUCUCUGGACAAAUCCUGACGCUGAGGCGCGAAGGCUAGGGGAGCAAACGGG